CCUACGGGAGGCAGCAGUAGGGAAUCUUCCACAAUGGGCGAAAGCCUGAUGGAGCAAUGCCGCGUGAGUGAUGAAGGAUUUCGGUUCGUAAAACUCUGUUGUAAGGGAAGAACAAGUAGCGUAGUAACUGGCGUUACCUUGACGGUACCUUAUUAGAAAGCCACGGCUAACUACGUGCCAGCAGCCGCGGUAAUACGUAGGUGGCAAGCGUUGUCCGGAAUUAUUGGGCGUAAAGCGCGCGCAGGUGGUUCCUUAAGUCUGAUGUGAAAGCCCACGGCUCAACCGUGGAGGGUCAUUGGAAACUGGGGAACUUGAGUGCAGAAGAGGAUAGUGGAAUUCCAAGUGUAGCGGUGAAAUGCGUAKAGAUUUGGAGGAACACCAGUGGCGAAGGCGACUAUCUGGUCUGUAACUGACACUGAGGCGCGAAAGCGUGGGGAGCAAWYAGGAUUAGAUACCCUGGUAGUCCACGCCGUAAACGAUGAGUGCUAAGUGUUGGGGGGUUUCCGCCCCUCAGUGCUGCAGCUAACGCAUUAAGCACUCCGCCUGGGGAGUACGGUCGCAAGACUGAAACUCAAAUGAAUUGACGGGG
rnacentral:rRNA from 1 species